GGGGGGGCAAGCGUUUGUUCGGAUUUACUGGGCGUAAAGGGCUCGUAGGCGGCCAUCUAAGUCGGUUGUGAAAUCCCUCGGCUCAACCGGGGAACUGCGACCGAUACUGGAUGGCUUGAAGCCGGGAGAGGGAUGCGGAAUUCCAGGUGUAGCGGUGAAAUGCGUAGAUAUCUGGAGGAACACUCGUGGCGAAGGCGGCAUCCUGGACCGGUCUUGACGCUGAGGAGCGAAAGCUAGGGUAGCAAACGGGAUUAGAUACCCCGGGUAGUCCUAGCCCUAAACGAUGAAUGCUUGGUGUGGCGGGUAUCGAUCCCCUGCCGUGCCGUAGCUAACGCGUUAAGCAUUCCGCCUGGGGAGUACGGUCGCAAGGCUG
rnacentral:rRNA from 1 species